GGGCCCGUCGUCUAGCCUGGUUAGGACGCCGCCCUCACACGGCGGAGGUCGCGGGUUCAAGUCCCGCCGGGCCCA
rnacentral:tRNA from 2 species